rnacentral:rRNA from 1 species
GACGAAACGCUGGCGGCGUGCCUAACACAUGCAAGUCGAGCGGGGUUGAGGCGAGAGGUAACUCGAGCUUCUACCUAGCGGCGGACGGGUGAGUAACGCGUGGGCAACCUGCCUCAAGGUUUGGGAUAACAGCCCGAAAGGGCUGCUAAUACCGGAUAUGCCUAUGGCCUCGCAUGGGGCUAUGAGCAAAGGGGAACCCGCCUUGAGAUGGGCCCCGUCCCAUCAGCUAGUUGGUGAGGUAACAGCUCACCAAGGCGACGACGGGUAGCCGGCCUGAGAGGGUGACCGGCCACACUGGGACUGAGACACGGCCCAGACUCCUACGGGAGACAGCAGUUAGGAAUAUUCGUCAAUGGGGGAAACCCUGAACGAGCAAUGCCACGUGAACGAAGAAGGUCCUUUUGGAUCGUAAAAGUUCUGUUGUUUUGGAAAGAAAAGUUAGAAGAGGAAAUGCUUCUAACCUGACGGUACCAUUCAAGAAAGCUCCGGCUAACUACGUGCCAGCAGCCGCGGUAAUCUGU